AAAAAACUAAAUAUGAUGACAGACUAAUCUGGGAAGUGAACGAGACGGGGUUAAAACGAAGACAACAGUGAAUCUGAUAGGAACACCCCAUCUACCCCAUCCAGUAACCCCAGCCCUCCACUCUCCACUCUCCCUCUUUCUCUCCCUCCCCCCGGGUAACCGAACCCAGGGGCCCCCGGAGGCCCUUUUUGUGCCUGGAGGAGAGGCUUGGUGCUGGCUCGCCUGCUGAAGAGAGAGAGGGUGGUCAGAGAGCAGGAUGGAGAGAAGGAUGAAGAUGGGGGAGGAGAGAGAGAGGCGGAGCUGCAUCUGGACGCUUUGUCGCCUAUGUCUCGGAUCUACCUGCACCUGCAAAUCUCCUGGAACAGUUACAUUAUAAGGUCGACGUUGCUGUUGGACCCCCUCUACAGAAGGAGAUGCAAUGUCAUGUUGAACACCUCAAUACAGAAACAACCCCCAAUUAGGUACUUUCCAAUACCGUUCCCCAAAUCAGCCAACAUGUUGUUCCUUGGUCACUCACUCCCCUGUCGGUGUGUAGUUGGGAGCGUACAGCCCACCUGUUCCACCAGCUAAGUGGUGAUUUGCUUGAGGAGGGCAUCAGUCUGGAGAGCCUAUAUCUGCUCCUCCAGGAGCUCUGCAAUGCAGCAUCACCUGCAGGAAACUCUUCUGGAGGAUGCUGGAACAGGCUGGAGACCAACACAGCAUACAGCCUACUGUGGGUGACACUGUGUGUGUGUGGGUGUGUGUGAGCACAAAGCUGACAGC